GACGAACGCUGGCGGCGUGCUUAACACAUGCAAGUCGCACGGAAAGGCCCUGCUUUUGUGGGGUGCUCGAGUGGCGAACGGGUGAGUAACACGUGAGUAACCUGCCCUUGACUUUGGGAUAACUUCAGGAAACUGGGGCUAAUACCGGAUAGGAGCUCCUGCUGCAUGGUGGGGGUUGGAAAGUUUCGGCGGUUGGGGAUGGACUCGCGGCUUAUCAGCUUGUUGGUGGGGUAGUGGCUUACCAAGGCUUUGACGGGUAGCCGGCCUGAGAGGGUGACCGGCCACAUUGGGACUGAGAUACGGCCCAGACUCCUAAGGGAGGCAGCAGUGGGGAAUAUUGCACAAUGGGCGGAAGCCGGAUGCAGCAACGCCGCGUGAGGGAUGACGGCCUUCGGGUUGUAAACCGCUUUCGCCUGUGACGAAGCGUGAGUGAAGGUAAUGGGUAAAGAAGCACCGGCUAACUACGUG
rnacentral:rRNA from 1 species